rnacentral:rRNA from 12 species
CCUGCACGAAUGGCGUAACGACUUCCCCACUGUCUCCAACAGAGACUCAGCGAAAUUGAAUUCUCCGUGAAGAUGCGGAGUACCCGCGGUCAGACGGAAAGACCCCGUGCACCUUUACUACAGCUUCGCAGUGGCGUUAGUGGCGAUAUGUGUAGGAUAGGCGGGAGGCUUUGAAACCAGAGCGCCAGUUCUGGUGGAGCCAUCCUUGAAAUACCGCCCUUAUCCUCAUUGACGUCUAACCGCGGUCCAUGAACCUGGAUCCGGGACCCUGCGUGGCGGGUAGUUUGACUGGGGCGGUCGCCUCCCAAAGAGUAACGGAGGCGCGCGAAGGUUGGCUCAGAGCGGUCGGAAAUCGCUCGUUGAGUGCAAUGGCAUAAGCCAGCCUGACUGUGAGACUGACAGGUCGAACAGAGUCGAAAGACGGCCAUAGUGAUCCGGUGGUCCCGCGUGGAAGGGCCAUCGCUCAACGGAUAAAAGGUACGCCGGGGAUAACAGGCUGAUGAUGCCCAAGAGUCCAUAUCGACGGCAUUGUUUGGCACCUCGAUGUCGGCUCAUCGCAUCCUGGGGCUGGAGCAGGUCCCAAGGGUUUGGCUGUUCGCCAAUUAAAGCGGUACGUGAGCUGGGUUUAGAACGUCGUGAGACAGUUCGGUCCCUAUCUGCCGUGGGUGUAGGAUACUUGAGAGGAGUUGCCCCUAGUACGAGAGGACCGGGGUGAACGAUCCACUGGUGGACCUGUUGUGGCGCCAGCCGCAGUGCAGGGUAGCUAUGAUCGGAAAGGAUAACCGCUG